rnacentral:lncRNA from 1 species
ACACAUACACUUCCCCUUAUUUCCCUGUAGGAAUUUUGUCAGGUCCAACAGAGGACACAAGGAGAAGAAACAAAAUGUAGCCAAAGCAUAUAGCAUUUGGAGCCAGAGAGCCUGGCUUGCAGCCCUCACCAUGAUGCACGAGUUGAAGCAGACAAUGUCCAGAAGCAAUGUGUACAUUCACUGUCCAGACCCAAGAUUCAAGAAGGUCCACAGAGUUUCCAAACAUGGAAAGAGAUGGGUGAGGAAGAAAGCAAAGGCUGGCAUCACACGUGAACGCUUACGAGUGCUGCUCCUGAGGAAGUUCAGACAAAGCCAAUGGGAAAGGCUGCCAUUUCCUUGUCAGGGUUAUUUCUUCCUUCAUAGAACUGGUGGUGUCUGGGUCUCAGGUGGCUCAAUGCUGAGCUUGUCACUACUCACAGUAUGUUUUCUCCCAAGACACUGCCAUACUGUCAAGCUAAUGAAGUUGAUGAAUAAAACUGUACAUUUCCAGAGAAAGGCUGUGUUCACCAAGACUGGACCACACAAUUCUGUACAACAGAGCUGCCUUGUUGUAGACGACCAACCUGGAGACUCUCUGAGUCAGACGCUUGCUUGUUAAGGAUGGGUUCUUAUGAAGAAGAAGAAUCCCACAAAUCAGAUGUUGAGUUGCAUCAGGUACUCUAUCUACCAUCCUUGGGUCUAAACACUGAUGCCCUCCCUCUCCAAGACCAUGCUGGUAUGGGCAUUAACAACAUUCCUGUCUGUGAUACUCUUUAUUGAUAUCAUUCUGUCUCCAGCCUAGAACUUUUUUUUUUUUUUUUUUUUUUUUUUUUUUUUUUUUUUUUUGGUGUGGUGCUGGGGACCUUGAACACAUAACAAGUAGUCUACUACUGGGCUUUACGCUCAGUCCUCUAUUUCAGUUCCUAACAUAGCUUGAUUAUUGUGGCAGUUGCCCACACUGGCUGAAACAUUGGGUUCUCAAAAUGUGACACUCUAAUGACUUUACCAAUUCCAUGUUUACUGAGUAGACAGCUCUGCUUUCUAAACUUCAAAAUUCAGUCCCCAGGCUUUUUUGACUGCCUUACCUACAAGGUAGAGUUAAUGGGUAUACUGGGCACAGAAUUUAGUGCUGGGAAGGAGUGCAGAGGUUCAGGCUUUGCCUCCAAUUUACUUGGUUGAUGUAGCUGCAGAUUUAUCAAGUGACUUCAUAACCUUUAGGAAACUAGUGUCUUUAUAUUAAUGACUGAAUUGGCCACAGCAUCAGGGAAAUUAAGAACCAUGUUUGCAGCUCUUUCUGACAACAGGGUAAGAUCAUAUGGCAUAUGUUAACUGUGCCGAUCAGAGAAUGUCUGGCUUUUGCCUUUUCUGUGGUUUUGUUUCUCUUGUUACAAUCUGUGCAAUUGUUUUCUACUUUUGCAAAGUGUUCACACAAGCUUUGUUGCAUAAAAGGAACUCUGAGCACAACAAUGUAGACAUGCCUGCUGGCAAUAAAUGUCUAUAUAUUAAAGGAAAAUAGCUGCAAAUUUCUUG